AUUGAACGCUGGCGGCAUGCCUUACACAUGCAAGUCGAACGGCAGCAUAGGAGCUUGCUCCUGAUGGCGAGUGGCGAACGGGUGAGUAAUAUAUCGGAACGUGCCCUAGAGUGGGGGAUAACUAGUCGAAAGACUAGCUAAUACCGCAUACGAUCUACGGAUGAAAGUGGGGGAUCGCAAGACCUCAUGCUCCUGGAGCGGCCGAUAUCGGAUUAGCUAGUUGGUGGGGUAAAAGCCUACCAAGGCGACGAUCAGUAGCUGGACUGAGAGGACGACCAGCCACACUGGGACUGAGACACGGCCCAGACUCCUACGGGAGGCAGCAGUGGGGAAUUUUGGACCAUGGGGGAAACCCUGAUCCAGCAAUGCCGCGUGAGUGAAGAAGGCCUUCGGGUUGUAAAGCUCUUUUGUCAGGGAAGAAACGGUAGUAGCUAAUAUCUAUUACUAAUGACGGUACCUGAAGAAUAAGCACCGGCUAACUACGUGCCAGCAGCCGCAGUAA
rnacentral:rRNA from 1 species